rnacentral:lncRNA from 12 species
AUGGAAAUCAAUCACGAGGGUACCAUGUUUGAAUGUCUUUGGAGGCCACUAGUAGGAGUCUGGAGACUCCUGUGCAGCCAUGUGACUGAUGACUCUGAAAUAAAACUUUCACAAGAGGAAACAGAUCCAGUGUCCGCCAUCACCAGUGCCCCCUAUAGCUCUGUCCAUCCAUGGUUUGAGAGUUAUGGAGAAGACGUUGGAGUUUAGUGUGGAGGAGUGAAUACAUGAAUAUUGCCUCGUGUGUU